UAAAAAUAUGGCUGACUUCGACGACAAAUAUUGUGAUAAAACGUUAUUAGAACUUAAGGAAAUUCUUCGCGUUCGUAAAUUAAAAGUUGCCGGAAAAAAAAGAGAUUUGGUUGAACGAUUGAUAUUUGAUGACAGAAAUUCCUCAAAAAAUGAACCUGCACCAGAAUUCCACAUGUGUCUGCCUGGAAUCAGAGAGUAUACAGAUCUCCAUGCUGAUCACUUACAGAACUUCCCUAAUGUGACCAAACAGAGAGUAGUGGAUUUCUUACAACUAAGUGACCAAAAGUUGAAUGAAAAAAUUGAACUUCUUUAUGCACAGAGGUAUCUAAGAUAUGUGCGUGUAGUCAUAAAUGAUGUAACAUAUAUAACUUCGAACGUUUGGGCAGAAAUGAAAAGAUCAACAAGCUACAAAGUGGACAUAAGUAUAGAUAGGAAUGCAGUGAUCCAGCAAACUCAGUGUGAAUGUGCAGUAGGACAAGGACCAUUGGCUCAUUGUUUUACAAAAAUUUCACAAAAGUAAGCCCAUGAAAGGUAGUCCAUUGAAAACAAGGAACCUGAGUGGAAUCAGAGGAAAUGUGAAGCCUGCUAUUUAUGAUCCAAGACCAGUGCAUAGGAAGAAUUCUUCAAAAAAUGAACAAAACUUGAGAAACAUGGUACUUAACUGGCAGGGAAAAUCAAAGUGGCCUGUGCUACAAAUGUAUGAAUCAGCCAACAUAAGAGCCUUAGCAGCUGACCAUGACUACAUGGAGCUGACAAUGG